GCAUUGGUGUUUCAGUGGUAGAAUUCUCAACUUCCAUGUGGGAGACCAAGGUUUGACUCAUGGCGAAUGCA
rnacentral:tRNA from 1 species